rnacentral:tRNA from 2 species
GCCCGAGUGGCGAAACUGGUAUACGCAAGGGACUUAAAAUCCCUCACCCUCGCGGGUAUGCGGGUUCGAUCCCCGCCUCGGGCA